CACUUUCUUUUAUAAUUAAACUUCUUGCUGCGCGGAGCAACACUAAAGGAUUUAAACGUUUAAUUCCCCUAUCUCAUGAGGUAGCAGAACUUUUCUCGUGGAAGGGAACUGGUACCAAAAGCAGCGCUAUUGGUUUG